GACAGAGGCCUCAAGCGUUAGGCGGAAUCACUGGGCUUAAAGCGUGUGUAGGCGGAUCGUUAAGUGUCUUGUGAAAUCCCACGGCUCACCCGUGGAACGGCUGGGCAUACUGGCGAUCUUGGGCCAACUAGGGGCAACUGGAACAAGCGGUGGGGCGGUGAAAUGCGUAGAUAUCGCUUGGAACGCCAAAGGUGAAAACAGGUUGCUGGGGUUGUGCCGACGCUGAGACACGAAAGCCAGGGGAGCAAACGGG
rnacentral:rRNA from 1 species